rnacentral:rRNA from 1 species
AUGGCGAGGCUUCAGCUUUCCGUCGUGGCGGCCUGCGCCGUCCUCCUCGCGCUCGUCGCACCAUCCAUCGCCGGCGACCCCGACAUGCUCCAGGACGUCUGCGUCGCCGACCUGGCAUCCCCGAUCAAGAUCAACGGGUUCCCAUGCAAGGCGAACAUCACGGCCGACGACUUCUUCUUCGCCGGACUCAAGAAGGCCGGCAACACCAACAACCCGGCUGGUUCGGUCGUCACCGCGGCUAACGUGCUGUCAUUCCCCGGGGUGAACACGCUCGGCGUGUCCAUGGCGCGCAUCGACUACGCCGUGGGAGGGCAGAACCCGCCGCACACCCACCCGCGCGCCACCGAGAUCAUUUUCGUCACCGAGGGAACCCUGGAGGUGGGUUUCAUCACCACCGCCAACAAGCUCUUCACUAAGGUCGUCACCGUCGGAGAGGUGUUCGUCUUCCCGCGAGGGCUCGUGCACUUCCAGCAGAACAGGGGCAACUGCUCUGCCUCCGUCAUCGCCGCCUUCAACAGCCAGCUUCAGGGCACCCAAGCCAUCGCCACCACGCUCUUGGCUGCCACACCACCAGUGCCAACCGACGUGCUGGCCAAGGCCUUCAGGGUUGAUAACGAAGACAUCGACGCCGUCAAGGCCAGGUUCAACUAG